rnacentral:lncRNA from 1 species
UAUGUAUAAUAUAACUAAAAUAUGUGUAUGACUAAUAUAUAUAACUAAAAUAUAUAUAACUAAAAUAUGCAUAUAACUAAAAAUAUGUAACAAAUAUAUAUAUAACUAAAAUAUAUGUAUAACUAAUAUAUAUAUAGCUAAAAUAUAUCCGUAACUAAAAUGUAUAGGUAACUAAUAUAUAUGUAUAUGACCAGGCUCCUAUCAGACAUCACCGUCCGGAGAGGCCACAGCUACCAGCCAUGACAGAGUCCUGCGAGUCUGUCUCACGGGCGCCCCUGUGGUCUGUCCUCACCUGCCCUCUUGCCGUGCUCCUGGCCGAUGGUUGUAGGCGCUGCACCAACGUCCUCGGGUUUGCGCCCUCCCUCCCCGGGCCAGUCCAGCUGCUGGCAGAUCCCUGUCUGUCCUUCAAGAGCCACCCUCCUGCCUCUGUGCUCCAGCCACGCCGCUGGAACAUCUAUCUAUUCUGUUUGUGGCCUGCUGGCAGGCCAUGGGCUCCUCUGAUGCCAAAACCGUGUCUGUUAACCCGCGUAUUCUCAAAGUUGGGGGCCUGUGUCCUGGGCCGUCUGCUUCCCACGGCCAGGUUUCCCUUAGAAACUGUGUUACGAUGGGGGCGCCUGGGUGGCUCAGUCGGUGAAGCAUCCGACUUCGGCUCAGGUCACGAUGUCACGGCUUGUGGGUUCCAGCUCCGCGUCGGGCUCUGUGCUGACCGCUUGGAGCCUGGAGCCUGCUUCGGAUUCUGUGUCUCCUUCUCUCUCUGCCCCUCCCCCGCUCAUGCUCUGUCUCUCUCUCUCAAAAAUAAGUAAACAUUAAAAAAAUGUUUUUUAAAAGCAUUAGCCUCUACACAUUUGGAAGUGGGAAGUUUCAAUCAGCCGCAAUUCUCUUAACCAUCUGUUGCAUUUUGAGCAUGCAUCUAGAGGUCCAAAUCUGCCCAAACUGUAGUUUAAAAAAUUAGGUUGGGGGGCGCCUGGGUGGUGCAGUCGGUUAAGCGUCCGACUUCAGCCAGGUCACGAUCUCACGGUCUGUGGGUUCAAGUCCCGCGUCGGGCUCUGGGCUGAUGGCUCAGAGCCUGGAGCCUGUUUCUGAUUCUGUGUCUCCCUCUCUCUCUGCCCCUCCCCCGUUCAUGCUCUGUCUCGCUCUGUCCCAAAAAUAAAUAAAAAACGUUGAAAAAAAAUUAAAAAAAA